UCCCUCUGGCCUGCUCCUCACGCCGGCGUUACGCGCCGCCUCUGCCGACUGCUCCUCACGCCGGCAUCCCGCGCCGCCGUUGCCGACCUCCAGCCGUCGUCCAAAACAACGGCAGCAUGGAUCCUGAUGUGGAGCUCCACUACGGCCCGAUCUGACCUGGGAGCGACCAGAUCUGUGCGUCUCCGCCCCGCUUCACGCGCCUCCAUGGUCCGCCGUCUUCCCGAGCGCCCGCGCCGUGCUCAGCCGCCGCCGUCCCAUGCCAUGGUAGCCACCCCUCCAGAACGAUGUGUCAUGGCCGCCUCCCUGCCUCUCCCGCAGGUGGGCCUCUGCGCCCCCGGCCUAGCAGAUUAAUGGAGGGCGCUGCCGAUGUCGGUUCAUGCCUCGGUGCUCCUCACCGGCGGAAUUUGCCAGCUAUUCUAUUCCUAUCAUGAUCUUUUCUGUUUUGAUGUAGAGUUAACUCCCACCUGUACAUGAGCCCCAAGGCACCACGCGAUUCUGAUGAUACACGAACACUGGGUCGGUCCUCUAUCCGGCAGCUCCGUUGGGGAAGCACCAAGAUCAAAACUCCAAGUAUCCUUGGAUAUAGGGAACAGUUAUGGUACAAAUAGACUUGAUUGUACUGACAAUUUUCAGCUUGCACAUGGAUCCCUUAUAGUAUGCAAUCAAGCUUGAUGAUAAAUUCUUGGAGAGACGCUAGGUGCCAUGUAAGGUGACCCAAGACUAUUGCUUUCAGUUAUUCAAUGGUGUUCAUAUGGCAUAUUGCUAUUAGAUAUGCCAUUGCCUGCAGCGGCAAGCUUGAAUUGGAGGUCAUGCGUGGAGGCUACUCGGAGAGGACUGUAUGCAUGUCCGUGUCCACGCACUUGGAGCAGCAGCCAAUGGAUGGUCGGCCAGAGGAGGACCAGGGUUGGAGAUUUGGGAUCGGAGACGCCAAGAACAAGGGACCAAGGUGCUGAACUAAUGGCACGGGCAGAAUGAUUCUUCAGGUACCAACAUAGUCGUCGACUAGAGAAUUAAGUUAACUGUUUGAUUUACUUGAAGCUCCAAAUUGUAGUUAUUUUAUUCAUUCACUAAUUUGGUAUAAUCUUAAUCUAGGAGGAUUAUCACUGUAUGAUAUGAGAUCUCGACAUUUAGCAAUGAUAAAACUCUGACAUUGGAUGGUUCUUUUCUGAAGUAUAGUUGUAAGAUCUAUGAUUCUAGCUUCGACCUUUAACAGGACAGUACUAAUUGGACAUAUAAUUGAUAAAUUAUGCACAAGAUAUUCUGUUGUCUUUUGUUCUCCAAUCAGAUUCAUCUAGCACUUUGUUGACUUUCUAAUUGUUCUACCCUCUACCUCUGAAACUCAGAAAUCAGAGAAAGGUUAUUAUUGGGGACAUACGUGAUACAUGUAGAUAAAUUUGGGGACAUAUACGUAAUACAUAUAGAUAAAUUUG